rnacentral:rRNA from 1 species
AUGGCUGGCAUUUGUGCCCCGAAGUACGAGUUUGGAAGGGCAGGAAGUUCUAUUGCUGGCAAAACAUACACUCUGUACAAAAGAAGGUGGUGGAAAACCAAUAAGUGCUACUACUGGUGUACACCAAGUUCAAGGAUUUUGCCAUGCUCGAGCAUCCACUGGCUCCGACCUCCACCCGCUGCCGCGCGCCUGGGAUCCGCAACCUCCAACCUCUCGUGGGCCUCAGCUGGUUUCUCUGUCCCGAAUGUCGCCGCGGGCCUCCCUGCAGCAUGGCUUCGGUUCCCUCUCCAGAUGCGUCUGUGCCAACCAUCUCUACAGGCUACCCUAUUCCUUCGCUGGACUACUCCUUCCACCAGCAGCCCCCCUAGCAAACCGCAUGUCUCAUAUUUGUUCUUAUUUUCUUGCAGGAUGCAUCAAAAAGCCAGAUUCACAAAUUCAUCUCCUAUAUGCUUUUCAGUUCAUGGACUUCCCAUUGGACCUGCACGAGUUUCGGCCAAGGAACCAUCAUCGGGAAGCAGGGUGUCCCCUGAGUUCUGUGCAACAACGGUCAUUGAACUCGGUAAGCCUUGCACAGAUAGCAUGUGCAAUGAUGAAUGCAUGAAGAUCUUUCCAGGUCCUGGCGACUGUGAGAAAGGCAAGUGCUUAUGCGGCUUUUGCUGA